AGUGUUGAUCAUCAAUCAAGCAACAAAGCCCUUUUUACAUCAGCAGGAAUUCAUUUUUCAGUAGCCUAAUCGCAGUACCCCAAAUAGUAAGCAGAAGCACAGUGGUCAGGAACAAUUCAGAGGAGUGCAUCACUUGAGUGGGUUGAGUCACUGACGUGAUCUUCCUGUCCAGGUUGGCACUCCCCCUUGUGUUGUGCCUUGGCAGAGAUCUUUGAGGGCUAUACUCGGCCUUGUCUCAGGAUGGACCUGAGCCCUAGGAGCAUGCCUCAGGACUAGCUGGC